rnacentral:rRNA from 1 species
UACGGGGGGGGCAAGCGUUGUUCGGAAUUACUGGGCGUAAAGGGCUCGUAGGUGGCCAACUAAGUCAGACGUGAAAUCCCUCGGCUUAACCGGGGAACUGCGUCUGAUACUGGAUGGCUAGAGUUUGGGAGAGGGAUGCGGAAUUCCAGGUGUAGCGGUGAAAUGCGUAGAUAUCUGGAGGAACACCGGUGGCGAAGGCGGUUCUCUGGGCAUUACCUGACGCUGAGGAGCGAAAGUGUGGGGAGCGAACAGG